rnacentral:rRNA from 1 species
GACGAACGCUGGCGGCAGGCUUAACACAUGCAAGUCGAGCGCCCCGCAAGGGGAGCGGCAGACGGGUGAGUAACGCGUGGGAAUCUACCCAUCUCUACGGAAUAACGCAUGGAAACGUGUGCUAAUACCGUAUACGUCCUUCGGGAGAAAGAUUUAUCGGAGAUGGAUGAGCCCGCGUUGGAUUAGCUAGUUGGUGGGGUAAAGGCCUACCAAGGCGACGAUCCAUAGCUGGUCUGAGAGGAUGAUCAGCCACACUGGGACUGAGACACGGCCCAGACUCCUACGGGAGGCAGCAGUGGGGAUAUUGGACAAUGGGCGCAAGCCUGAUCCAGCCAUGCCGCGUGAGUGAUGAAGGCCCUAGGGUUGUAAAGCUCUUUCACCGGUGAAGAUAAUGACGGUAACCGGAGAAGAAGCCCCGGCUAACUUCGUGCCAGCCGCCGCAGUAAUAC